rnacentral:tRNA from 1 species
GAGGAUUUAGCUCAGUGGUAGAGCGCUUGCCUAGCAUGUGCAAGGCCCUGGGUUUAGUCCUCA